GACGAACGCUGGCGGCGUGCUUAACACAUGCAAGUCGAACGGUGAUGGGUGCUUGCACCUUGAUCAGUGGCGAACGGGUGAGUAACACGUGAGCAACCUGCCCCCGACUCUGGGAUAACCCCGGGAAACCGGAGCUAAUACUGGAUAUGAGACGUACAGGCACCUGUCGCGUCUGGAAAGAAUUUCGGUUGGGGAUGGGCUCGCGGCCUAUCAGCUUGUUGGUGGGGUAAUGGCCUACCAAGGCGACGACGGGUAGCCGGCCUGGGAGGGCGCCCGGCCACACUGGGACUGAGACACGGCCCAGACUCCCACGGGAGGCAGCAGUGGGGAAUAUUGCACAAUGGGCGCAAGCCUGAUGCAGUGACGCCGCGUGAGGGAUGACGGCCUUCGGGUUGUAAACCUCUUUCAGCAGGGAAGAAGCGCAAGUGACGGUACCUGCAGAAGAAGCGCCGGCUAACUACGUGCCAGCAGCCGCAGUAAAAC
rnacentral:rRNA from 1 species